UACGUAGGGGGCAAGCGUUGUCCGGAUUUACUGGGCGUAAAGCGCGCGUAGGCGGAACGAUCAGUCCGGUCUGAAAGCCCCCGGCUCAACCGGGGAGGGUGGCUGGAAACUGUCGUUCUUGAGGGCGAGAGAGGAGGGUGGAAUUCCUGGUGUAGCGGUGAAAUGCGUAGAGAUCUGGAGGAAUACCGGUGGCGAAGGCGGCCCCCUGGACAAAGACUGACGCUCAGGUGCGAAAGCGUGGGGAGCAAACAGG
rnacentral:rRNA from 1 species